rnacentral:rRNA from 1 species
GACGAACGCUGGCGGCGUGCUUAACACAUGCCAGUCGAACGGAAAGGCCCUGCUUUUGUGGGGUGCUCGAGUGGCGAACGGGUGAGUAACACGUGAGUAACCUGCCCUUGACUUUGGGAUAACUUCAGGAAACUGGGGCUAAUACCGGAUAUGAGCUCCUGCUGCAUGGUGGGGGUUGGAAAGUUUCGGCGGUUGGGUAUGGACUCGCGGCUUAUCAGCUUGUUUGUGUGGUAGUGGCUUACCAAGGCUUUGACGGGUAGCCGGCCUGAGAGGGUGACCGGCCACACUGGGACUGAGAUACGGCACAGACUGCUACGGGAGGCAGAAGUGGGGAAUCUUGCCCAAUGGGCGGAAGCCUGAUGAAGCAACGCCGCGUGCGGGAUGACGGCCUUCGGGUUGUAAACCGCUUUCGCCUGUGACGAAGCGUGAGUGACGGUAAUGGGUAAAGAAGCACCGGCUAACUACGUG